UACGUAGGGACCGAGCGUUGUCCGGAAUCAUUGGGCGUAAAGCGCGUGUAGGCGGCUCUUUAAGUCCUGCGUGAAAUCCUGCGGCUCAACCGCAGACGGUCGUGGGAAACUGGAUGGCUAGAGUGCGGGAGAGGAGAGUGGAAUUCCCGGUGUAGCGGUGAAAUGCGCAGAUAUCGGGAAGAACACCCGUGGCGAAGGCGGCUCGCUGGAACGCAACUGACGCUGAGACGCGAAAGCGUGGGGAGCAAACAGG
rnacentral:rRNA from 1 species